rnacentral:tRNA from 1 species
GGUGGGUGGGCGGGACGGUAACGCGUUAGUCUUGAAAACUAAUGAGCGAAAGCUCUAACAGGUUCGACCCCUGUACCCACCG